GUGCCAGCCGCCGCGGUAAUACGGAGGGUGCAAGCGUUGUUCGGAAUUAUUGGGCGUAAAGCGCGUGUAGGCGGCCCAUUAAGUCAGAUGUGAAAGCCCUUAGCUCAACUAAGGAAUUGCAUCUGAAACUGAUGGGCUUGAAUACGGGAGAGGAGAGUAGAAUUCCCAGUGUAGAGGUGAAAUUCGUAGAUAUUGGGAGGAACACCGGUGGCGAAGGCGGCUCUCUGGACCGAUACUGACGCUGAGACGCGAAAGCGUGGGGAGCAAACAGGAUUAGAUACCCUGGUAGUCCACGCUGUAAACGAUGGGCACUAGGUGUGGGGGGUAUUGAACCCUUCCGUGCCGUAGCUAACGCAUUAAGUGCCCCGCCUGGGAAGUACGGCCGCAAGGCUAAAACUUAAAUGAAUUGACGGGG
rnacentral:rRNA from 1 species